GGGUGUCACCAUUUGGGGACAUGGGGAGUUGGGGAUGCCCUGCUCAGCGCCCAUUCCCUUCCCACAGCAGCCCAGAAGUGCAUUGGAGACCGAGCCAAGCACAGAAGAGAAGAGCUCUGUGAGCCCCGCGGCUGCGGGGACCUGCGUCAGUGUGGGGGCAGCCUGCCCGGAGAGCCUGCCCCUGCUGGAUUCCAGCCCAGGCGGGGGCCCCCCAUCCCCCAGGGACCCCCCUGAGCCCCGAGUGUCCACAGAGCACACCAAUAACAAGAUCGAGAAGAUCUACAUCAUGAAGGCUGACACAGUGAUCGUGGGGACUGUGAAGACAGAGGCGUCUGAGGGCCGGGGCCCGGUGGGGCCCGUGGGGCCUGAGGCAGAGCCGGAGCCGGAGCUGGAGGUGGACCAUGUCCCGCAUUACCCAGAGCAGGAGACAGAGCCGCCCCUGGGCAGCUGCGGGGACGUCAUGUUCUCUGUGGAGGAAGAAGGCAAGGAGGACUUGGGGCCCACAGUGGCCUCUGGGAAGUGAGGCCCAACCUGGGCGGCGGGAGGGCAGCUGGCACCCCUUGGAGGCCAGCGGAGCAGAAGACCGUGUGGCUUGGACUGAGGUCCAGCGGCUAGUAGUGGACCAGGGAUGGGGCACCCGGCUCUGCUGCUGCCCAGAGCUCUGGUCUCAGCGGUGGCACCUGACACUUGCCACCAGGACCAGUGCCCAGCAUCGAGCUAGCACCCACUGAGGGAGUGAGCACGAGGCUGGUUCCCUGUGUCCCUCCCCUGUCCCUGGGCCUCAGAGCUGACACAUCAGGCCUGCUGGCACGCCCCAGCCCCCAGUUACUGUAAACAUGGCUCCCAGCGGGCGCGGUGCCAGCGCCUGUGGUUUUUUCUCCUGAGUCAGAAGGGAAGUCGAGGAGUGGGUGUUGGCGCUGGCACCCUGUGGGCGACAGCUGUGGCGCUGCACCUCGCCCCAGCCUCCCCAGGCUGCGGACCUCCCUGCGGCAGCCCUUUCCCUGCCCAGCCCCCACGGUGAGCCCAGGUCCAUCCACUCCUCCCAGAAAGUCCCCACUCAGCCCCGAGCAGGAGGCCUUUCAGGGCCCAGGUGUCUGCAGACCUCCGCGCCCUGCAGCGCCCACCCUGGCUGGAGACCCUGCCGCCGACUGCUGCUGGCGAAGGGCCUCGGCUCUGCCCCGGGACUCCUCCUGUGUGCAGCCUGCAGCCUGCGGGGGCCUCCGCUGUUCUGAGGCGCCUCCUGCUCUGUCCUGGGAGUGGAAAGCCACCUCCCGGGUUUGCCACCUCCCGGGUUUGCCACCUCCCAGAUUUGCCACCUCCCAGAUUUGCCAUGCUUGAGAAGCCACCAACACCCGCCCUGCGGCCCGUUCCCGCUGCUCUGCACCCACCAGGGUGUGGAUGCUGGAUGACCCUGGACUCAGGACGUUCGACCCCACUCUGCACCGAAGGCAGAAGGUGGCGGAAACCUCAGGGCUCUGUGUUCCACAGUAAGGACUAAAGCGCCCUGACAUCCUGCCUGUGGGCCAGCCCCUGGGCCUGCAGCCUCUUAGAACAAACAAGUGACCGCUGAAGCAUCUUACAGCCCGGACACCCCUGGACUUACCCCCAGGGGCCAGCCCCGGGAGCUGUUUACUCACCAGCCAGCCUCUCUGGAGGAAGUUGACCGCUCAGGAAUCACGAGGGUGGUUUCUGAAACCACUCAGAUGUUUUGGGGAAAGUUGGAGAGUCUGAGGCACCGUGAGAGGUGGUUAUGCCAGGACUGGGUGCUGGCCAGGAACUUGAGUGGGUCAGGCAGUAGUUGCCCAGUUGUCCUGUGCAAGGACAGAGUGGCACCCAGCGCCCCCCAGAGCUGCAGCCUUGAGGGUCGAGUGGACACCACCCUGAUCCUGCCGAGCAGAGCCGGCUGGCCACCUUGGCCCGAGAAUGUGGCCACACACUUUAACAGGAUAAGGCACUCUAUGGCCUGGUGGCUCUUGACAAAACGUUUAACCCUCUAAAAGUCUGUAGGAGAAAUGAAGAAUUGAUCUGGGCUUGGUGGUGUGCACGUGGAAUCCCAGCAGUUCCAGGGCUGAGGCAGGAGGAUCGAGAGUUCAAGGCCAGACUUGACCAUCUGAGCAAUGUAGUUAGACCCUGUCUCAGAAUACAAUAAAAAGGGCAGAGGAUGUAGCUCAGCAGUGGAGCGCCCCUGGGUUCAGUCCCAGGAAAACACACGCAGAAAAUAAAAAGAAAAAUUGUGAGACCGAGGAAUGACGGUGGAAAUGGAGUGUUUGACAGCCUCGGAGCAGGAAGGUCACAGGGCCUCUCGCCCAGGUCAGGGAUCCCUGUGCAUCCUGGACUCUUGCCGAGGACAGGCACAUCCUCACUUCUUUUUGCCCUCGGAGGCAGACUCGUCCUCCACGACACACACCCCGGAGCCAAAGCCUGCCCGGGAGGGUGCUCAGGAUGGAGCUGCUCUUUGCACAGGGCUGCCUGCGGGCGUUUGCGCAGGGGCCCUGGGCCUCUCCAGGCCUCCUUCCCUCUGGCUGGGAUGAGCCCUGCAGCUUGGGAAAGGAGGCUCUGGAGGUGGGAGAAGCCCUGGGCUCCUGGGACCCGCAGAGCCCCCAACCCUGCCCACCUGGGUGCAGCUCAGGGCCACUCUGGACCUCCUCCCACUGCACGCAGCCAGCCUGGAGUGUCCCCCUGAAUGUGGCUCUGUGUGGGAUGGAGGAGACCCACAGCCAUGGCAGGUGACCCUGCCCACCCCACCCCUAGGACUGCAGCCCCACCUCCAGCCCGAACCAGCUGCUGCCUGCCCUGUGGUCAGCUCAGGAGCCAGGGGCUCUCCAACUUGACAGAGACCAGGUGGGCUCCUUAACCUCUGGAUGUUCUGAUGUUCAAGAGGACAGAUGGACAAGGACCCUCAGGGCAGCAAUUCCCAGGCUGUUAAGAACCCUUCCCCGGGGCUGGGGCUGGCGCUGGCGCUGGCGCUCUGUGCUUGCCUAACAUGUUCGAUCCUCGGCACCACAUAAAACAAAUGAUGUCAUUAUGUGCAGGUUCCAGUGUGUAACAACACAUCCCACCUUGUGUACAAUUAAAAUGCACUAAUAAAAAACGUUUUUAAAAGAAACUCCCCCACCCCCCGCCUCUUCCUGAACAGUUAUAAGCAGGGGCGACAGCGAGUGAUAAUGUCCUGCGGAAGCUGUUGCCUUCACAAAGGGGCCAUUGUGUGGAAGGCGCCUCGAAGGUUGGAAACUACAGGAUUCCUAG
ensembl:lincRNA